UGGAAGGUGACGACCAGUGGGGUUCUUUGGAGUAGGUAAAGGACAUGGGAGAAGGUGUUCAGACCGAAAAUUAACAACUUGAUCUUGAGUCCGGAAGGCUGCA